rnacentral:rRNA from 1 species
UACGUAGGGUGCGAGCGUUGUCCGGAAUUAUUGGGCGUAAAGAGCUCGUAGGCGGUUUGUUGCGUCGGCUGUGAAAUCCCGAGGCUCAACCUCGGGUCUGCAGUCGAUACGAGCAAACUAGAGUGUUGCAGGGGAGACUGGAAUUCCUGGUGGUAGCGGUGAAAUGCGCAGAUAUCAGGAGGAACACCGGUGGCGAAGGCGGGUCUCUGGGCAGCAACUGACGCUGAGGAGCGAAAGCGUGGGGAGCGAACAGG